CGACGAUGAUUGAUGGAGAAUAGCGAAGUGUAAUAGGAGACGGUGUAAUAGCACAUGAAAUAUGGCACGCGAAAAAAAAAAAACAAGAACAAAAAGAACCCUGCUCCUCCUGCUACUUGAAUUUGUCCUCGCACGUGUUGAUAUAUUGUUGCACAUUGUAUUAUAGUGGUAUUUGAUAACUGUUGGCAACAGAACAAAAACAGCACGUCGCUGCUAAUUACUAAGCGAAGGUGGAAUACUGACAAUGAAGUCAGCAGGAAUACCAACAGUGAAAUAAGAAGAAAAUAAUAAUGGCAGACCCCCCAACUUACUCAAGAAAUGAAGAGGCAUGCUGUUAUUGUGGUUAUAAAGGCUGAGCAUAAAGAUCUUUCGUCUACAAAGUUUGUAAGGAGCUAGAGACUGAAGAUGGAAACGUAUCACCAGUAUCAAAGCACAAAAAGCAUUCUAAACGCUCUAAAAUCAUCAGACCACCGGCAAGUUGAUUACAAUCCCAGAAAUUCCAUGAGGCCAAUUUCAAAACUCUCCAUGUGUCAGAAGGAACAGUAAGAUAUGUUGUCCACAAAGACAUCAGAUAUAAGUCUUGUAUGAUGAGGAAAGGUCAAUUUCUCAUAAAAAGCAAAAGGCAAUCACUACAUCAGAUCUAAAAGGCUCUUAAACAAGCUGAAAAAUCCAGAAGAAGAUUUGAUUUGUUUUUUUCUCAAACGAGAAAAACUUCGACCAAGAUCAAAAAGCUAACAGAAGAAAUGACAGAUGGUUAUGUGCAGACACUUCUGAAGUUCCAAGUGUUAUACAUACAAAAUUUUUAGGGAUUGUCAGCAAUGAAGGACAUGUGGUGCCUCCUUACUUUUUUUCCAUAAGGCCUUAGAGUUAACUCUGCCGCCUACAUUGAGGUCCUGGAAAUAAUUCUUAAGCCAUGGAUAGAUAAUAUAUGCAAUGGAAGGCCAUAUGUGUUUCAGUAAGACUCUGCAUUAUCACACAUGGCUCUAGUAACACAGGAGAAAACUAGAAACAGACAACAAAUUAAACAACUAACGCCACAAAAUCCCAAUACCACAUCAAACACCCGUACAAACAGACCUAACCGAAAAUAUAAAAACCAUGUUAUCUUUUGGUAUAACCCAAUCUGGAGCUCGGACAUCUCAUCCAAAAUCGCGAAACAAUUUUUCGCUGACCUUGAUCGCUACUUCCCUAAAAAUGAAGUGUACAACAAAAUAUUUAACCGUCAUACUAUAAAACUGUCCUAUGCUAAUUCAUCAAAUAUAGAGCACCACGUUCGUAGGAUUAACAAUUGGAAACUGAGACAACGAACAGACUACACUCAAAAUAAGACGUAAAAAUUGACCGCGACUCAUUUAACCAAUCUAGAGACAACACUAAUAUCAAUCAAUUAAUGCAUCAAAAUGAUAAUAACUCUAACUAUGAAAGCAACCGAGAUAAAACAACUACAAUAUCGACAAUAACCAUCCAACGAAUCACACCACCAAUAAUUCAAACAACAACACUAAUACACCCAGAAAUAGUGAUAAUAAAAGGAUAACAAUGACCACAAAUAUACUGAACAGAACCAAUUCAUCUAGUACUCGCAGCACAAAAACAAACCAUUUAUGCUCAUGCAGAGACAAAUCCAAAUGUCCUUUAAACAAUCAAUGUAUAACAAAAAAUGUGAUAUAUAAGUACACUGUAAAUAAUAGAGAAGGCCCCUACGUAUAUAUCGGAGCCUCGGUAGAUCUUUUCCAAAAUCGAUAUCAUAACCACAUUGCCAGCUUUCGAAAUAUCUUUAAACGGUAUGUAACACCACUGGUUGAUUUUAUCUAGAGACUCAAGGAAGAGAAAGUAAUAUAUGACCUGACCUGCGACUCCCUACAACACCUUAUUCCGGAAAUGCCAGCUAUGUUCCGAAGAGUCACUCUCAGUAUUGUUAACAAAGAAGCGCAUUAUAAAUAGAUUUUAGGGACAAUUACACAGAUGCCUACAUGCAGCUAAAUACACAUUCACAAAUUACAAUCUUAUCCUUACCUAACUAAUGCGCUUUUUUUUUUUUUUCAAUAUAUAUUUUUGCUUGUAAUAGCCGGUUCUUUUGGUCAAACUGUUAUAUCUGCAGCUGCUUCAGAGGCCAAGAUAUGAAAAUUGUCAAGGACACGCAGUGUAGUUUUUGCGGCCACUACUGUCGUGCAGAGCACCAGACCAUAUUAGAUGUUAUAUUUUGGCGACUUCCUAAUAGUGGACAAUUUAACCCGCCUACAUUGAUGAUAUAAGCAUAAACACACCACAUGAAAAUGACUCUACCAGAGCUAACGAGGAAGAGAGAGAGAAGGGGAGGAGAGAGGGAGAGAGAGAGAGAGAAAGAGAGAGAGAUAGAGAGAGAGAGAGAGAGAGCGAGAGAGAGAGAGAUAGAGAGAGAGAGAGAGAGAGAGAGAGAGAGAGAGAGAGAGACUCCGAGCAAUUUCAACCGAUUGUUAGAAGGUAUCACGGCUGCGGUCGGUUGGAAAGGCAGCUUAAAAUAAUUGCGGAACUCCUCUCGCAAAGAAACUGAAUUGUUAAUCCAUUAUUUCACAUUUAAUACAUAUUUCCUUUUUAGUUUGACAGGGGAAGGGUCAAUAACUGUUGUCUCAUAUACUGAAUAUGUUAACAUAUCAGCCUACAAGACCGUAUCAACAUUUAUGUAGGACAAGGAUACAAUAAGGGCUUUGUAAGAUGCAUGAACAAUUUCUCGGAAAAUGUUAGACUGUUUUUACUCCAGAAGUGAUCUGGGGCAUCACGAAUGGAAAUUUAAAAAGGAGCAUUGGUUAACGCUCGUAUUUGAGGAUAAUAUUGGCAAUAAAAUUUAAUUCAUUUUAAUUAAUUAAGAUUAUUUAAAUAUAGAGUGUAAUGCGUAGUGAGUUUGAUUUAAUAGACCUCUUCAGCGAAUCAUUGUACGAUUGUCAGUGUAGACUUUACCCGAGUAGUGAAAGAUGAAAAGAUUAUUAUUAAAUAAUACUGUGUAACGAAGAUUUUAUUUCCAUUUUUAUUUUUUGUCUUCAGUCAGUAAGUGUUGUUUUCUAUUUGCUUCUAUCUAGCAAUGAAAGAAAAUGACUGCUUUUCCCUUCAAACUUUGCUUUUCUGACUUGGACAUCAAUAUUUUGAAAUUGACCUACUUUCCAUUACAUUUCAGACAUAUUCAGCACUGGGUUACUGAAGCAGAAAUAUCAUUAUAGCAAAUAUUCUGCUCAAUACCACAGAUUUAUUUGUCACUUGCUUGAUCUUAAACCACUUGAGCAUGUCCCUUAGUGACUAACAAUAUGUACAUUUCUGAUCAUAAGCAGGAGUAGUGAGGGAGCAUCAUAGCCAUGUGUUGAGAGGAAUUCUUUGGGGUUUGAAUAAAUAUAAGAAAUGCAAAUUUUGAAGGAAAUAGGCAUUUUUCAUACUUUCUAGAAGUAAGCAAAUAGGAAAUGACAGUUCUUACCCAAGGACAAAAAUCGUGUUACACAGUGUUAUUCUGUUUAUUGUGUUUGAUUAAUGAUGAACAGUAUCUGAGAAAUCUUCUAGGGGAAAGUGAUUUUCCCUCUUAACUCAGUAUGACCGAAACUUUGAUGAUAUUCAUUUCAUGUCGAUGAUUACUAACACUAAUGAUCUUUUUACAUUCAAACAAACUGAUGCACAGUUUUAAUAUUAUUGACUGUUGCGAACAUUUAAACUUGUCAACAUCGAAAUUUUUUAACAUGUUUUUCUAAUUCAUAAUUCUAAAUUUAUCUGUUAUGAACAUUUAAAUUUGUCAACAUUGAAACUUUUUAAAAUGUUUUUCUAAUUCAUAAUUGUAAAUUUUUACCAUUGAUAAACAAAA